UACGUAGGGUGCAAGCGUUGUCCGGAAUUAUUGGGCGUAAAGAGCGUGUAGGCGGCCCGAUUAGUCCGCUGUGAAGGUCCAGGGCUCAACCCUGGAAUGCCGGUGGAUACUGUCGGGCUAGAGUCCGGAAGGGGCGAGUGGAAUUCCUGGUGUAGCGGUGAAAUGCGCAGAUAUCAGGAGGAACACCGGUGGCGAAGGCGGGUCUCUGGGCCGAUACUGACGCUGAGGAGCGAAAGCGUGGGGAGCGAACAGG
rnacentral:rRNA from 1 species